UGGUCAUUACCAAGGCUUUUAGAAUGCAGUUUCUGAAUUGCUGUGGAAUUGACCAUAUAAAAAAAAACUUCCCAUUAGGUUUUCUAUUUGCUACCUUGCUAGCAUUCAGCCUAUUGGGAACAGUC